UACGAGGGGUGCUAGCGUUAUUCGGAAUCAUUGGGCGUAAAGGGUAUGUAGGCGGUUUAUUAAGUCUGUUGUUAAAUUUCUCAGCCUAACUGGGAGUCGGCGAUAGAAACUGGUUUACUAGAGUGUGGGAGAGAGAGGUGGAAUUCUCGGAGUAGCGGUAAAAUGCGUAGAUCUCGAGAGGAACACCGAUGGCGAAGGCAGCCUCUUGGCCCACUACUGACGCUGAGAUACGAAAGCGUGGGGAGCAAACAGG
rnacentral:rRNA from 1 species